UAAAGCUGGAAAGAUCUAAAUAACCCAACAGGAAAUGCGGAUGAAAGUGCAAGAGUUGGUUUGUGGUCAUCUGGAGUCCAUGUCUCCAAGACUGCUGGACCUUCAAAUUCUGCAACUUGUUAGAUCAUCUGGAUGUAAAGAACUUAAUUUCAGUAUAAACUGACUCUGGGCAGCAUUGGUGAUGCUGUAUCCUGAGUUGUAGCCUCUGUAAUUGUGAAUAUUAACUGAGAUAGUGAAACAUGGUGUCCGGUUUUCUAUUGCAUUUUUUCAAGUGGAAAAGUUAACUAAAUGGUUGACACACAAAAAUUGGUGGAGAAAUUGUGCAUAUGCCAAUUUUUUGUUAAAACCUUUUGUUUUGAACUAUACUGCUUUGAGAUCUCAUUUCAGAAGAACGGCAUGAACAGUCUUCAGCCACAGUUGUGAUGGUUGUUAAAUGCUCACAAUUGUGCAUUCUUAGGGUUUUUCCAUCCCUGGGGUUUGCAAGUUGUUCACUUAAAACAUUCUUAAAAUGGUUGGCUUCUUGUCUGCAAGCCAGCUGAUAUGGUAGCAACCAAAGAUUCCAGUGUUUGAGCAUAUGAAAGACUCUGCCUGCUUAAUUGUGCUAGAAAUAACAGCAUCUAAAGUGAAGACUUAAGAAAAACUUAGUGACUACUAGAUUAUCCUUAGGACUCUGCAUUAACUCUAUAAUGUUCUUGGUAUUAAAAAAAAAGCAUAUUUGUCACAGAAAUUUAGUUAACAUCUUACAACUGAACAUGUAUGUAUGUUGCUUAGAUAAAUGUAAUCACUGUAAACAUCUAUAUGAUCUGGGAUUUUGUUUUUAUUUUGAAAUGGGAGCUUUUUUGUUUACAAGUUCAUUAAAAACUAAAAACUGUUUCUGUAAGGAAAUGAGAUUUUUUUUAAACAACAAAAAAUGCCUUGCUGACUCACUAUUAAAUAAAAAUCUCCCCAAUUUUUUGAUAGACUACUUCAAGCCAUUUGUUACAUGGUAUUCCUUUGCAAGUCAAUUUAGGUUUCGUGUUAUAACUUUUCCUCUUUUUUUAAGAAAAAUGAAAAAAGUAAUUCUUUUGUCUGAAGGGGAAAGGCAUUCUUUCAUUUUUUUCUUUUUUUUUUUUUUUUUUUAUGACUUGCAGGCACAAUAUCUAGUACUGCAACUGCCAGAACUUGGUAUUGUAGCUGCUGCCCGCUGACUAGCAGCUGGACUGAUUUUGAAUAAAAAUGAAAGCAUUAAAGGGUUUCCCUACAAAACAUUUUUCUUUUUUUAUUUGAAAACUACUUUAGCAAUAAUUAAUUCCAUGAUUAUCACAUUCUGCCAUUAAGGGAUAUUAGUACCGUAAUACUGAAGAAAUUUUAUUAAGUCUGAACUUCUGGGGUAGGCAGCUUCUUUGUUUCUUUUCUAUCCACCCUUGUCGGUUGAGGUAUUUGUUUCUUGACUAAUAAACCCUUUGAUACUUUUAGCCAGAAAUCAGUCUCAUAAAGCUAUUUUUGAGUAUAGUUUGUGUAAAAUAAAAAUGUUUAGCUUUGGUAAUAACUUCCAAGCUGAACUCCCUCUAGCAAGAUAUUUUUCAGUGCUUUUAUUUACUAUGCACUUAGACUAUGCACUUUUUCUGAAAUAUUUUUGUAACACUUUUUUGUAUUUUUGCCAUUUGAAAAGGUUGUGGUGUAGUUGGUCUGUAAUUAAGUUGCAGAUUUAAAACUGCUGUUAGCUUUGUAAAUCAAAAUAUAGGUGUUUUUUGUCCUGGUAUAUCGUCAUUCCAUCUGCAGCUGGAGCUGGAAUCCCAUUGAUCUUCUAGCUACCAUUCAUUUUCUUCACUGUUCACAAAAGAAGAGUGUGAAAUUCAGUGAAUGCUGUUACUAAUCCUGUUACGAGAUGAAUCUCAUUUCACCAAAAUUAAAUUAUGUUUUUCCGCUAAAAUGAUGAUACAAGUUGAAGACACAUCACUCUGAAAUUGGAAGACCUCACCACUUAAGGCUCCACAGUGGCUUACUCAGCUGAACUCUAGGUUACUACUCUUUACUUUGUUCACCCAUUGGGGGGUGCAGUUUUUUUAAAAUGUUGGGAGAUGGCCAUUCUAACUACUGUUGAAUGUCUCUGUUUUGGGAAGGUAUAACAAGAAAUAAAAAAGAAUAUAUAUGAAGGGAGAGACUGGUUAUCUCCUCCCAUAUGGUUGUGCUUAUCCUCUUAUGGCUUACAAAUGAAUAUUUGGAGGUUUGCUUUCACAAUGAUUUCCCAUCAACAAAUAUUUUUAGUAGGAUUUUUCCUGUUUCUGUUAGUCCUUGCAGUACUCAUAAAUGUUUUAAGCUGAGCAUACUGUAAUAGUCAUAAGUUUAAUUUCAUUAUAAUAAAAAUAAUCAAACAAAAGGACUUUAGAACCCAAGACAAUGAGCUAGUUUUCCCUAAAGUUUGCUGAACUAUUAAGGAAUAUGUUCUUAUAGCUUUUGACUAGAAUGAGUCAUGGGAAUUCUAAGAAGGGAUGGCCUAGACAUUUUUAGCUCAGUUAAAUUCAGCAUUUAAUGCAGGUGAGUUCCUGGGUCGUUUUCCAACUAGUCUGGAACAGUCUGGUUCUGACUCAAACUGGUAUAAAGCAUUAUUUUAGGUUUUCUCUUUGCCAGUUUUUAAGCAGUUAUAACCAUGUAAAUCAAGAUGUGAGGACAUCUAUAUGAAGUAUAGUAAAGAAGUGGUGUCAGCAGAUCAAUAUGUGUGUCCUGGGUGUGCUGCUCUCUUAAGUGAGACUUUGUGAGACUAUACUUUAAAUGCAUUAUUACCAUUGCUUACAUUUUGGGGGAUUUUCUUCCUCCUCAAAACUUCCAUUUCUAUUGUAAUAUUCUUAAUGACAAUCUUUUUUUUUUUUUAGCAGUGUAUGUUUGAAACAGCCAAAGAUGGCGAUGAACCAAGUGUAAAUUGAUCUAAGCAGCCCAUGCAGUUUGUGUUGAAUCAACAAACAGUGUAUUGUUGAAGUGAAAUUAUUUUCUGAAAUGACUUGUUAGACCAGUUUUGAGGACAUACUCAAAAGUAGAGUAAUAAUGGCUCCUGGGAUGGAGAAAUAUGAGAUGAACCUGGAACAUUCUAUUAUGGUGCCACAAAGGAAAU
rnacentral:lncRNA from 10 species